UCCUGACCGUCCCGUCUCUUCCAGAUUCCGGGGCGGAGGUCCAGGACGAUAGCUUUGAGGCCCCGGAUGAGAUGGGCCGCGGCUGGGAGGGCGGCGGCGGCGGCGGCCGGGGCAGACCCCCCCGCGGUGGAGGUCCGCCUCGAGGUGGAGGAGGAGGCCACGAGGGUUACCUCGGUGACGGCCAGCCGAUGCUGGACAGCUCCUCCCCCGGCGGAAGGGGGGAGCGCCCCCCGCCCUCCUCCAUGCAGGGCAUGGACAUGGCGUCCCUCCCUCCACGCAAACGGCCCUGGCACGACGGCCCGGGCACCGGAGACCCCCGGGACCCCCGCGAACCUCCCGGUGGAGGAGGAGGAGCUGGAGCAGGAGGGCCUGAGGGUCGCCCCCCCCAGAGAGGCGAGGAGGGGGGCUAUGGGCCGGCCGUACGAGGAGGUCGUGGGGGUGGGGGCUGGGGUCCAGGAGGAGGUGCAGGAGGUCCCCCUCUCAGGAGAGGAGCCCCCAGAGGAGUCCCCCGUGGUGGCCGCGGCCGGUAGUGACCGCUCCCCCCCCCCAACCCCCCCCUUUCACAUUGGUGUUGGGUGUCCCGCCCACUGACCUGGUUCACACUGGCCGCCACUGUGUUGAUCGACACAAGACUUGACCAAUGGGCCGGCAGAGUGACCAGAUUUAGUUUCUGAAUCAGUGAAGUAGGAUUUUUUUUUCUUUCUUCUUCUCACCCCAGUGGAAAAGACCUUGUAGCCGCCGCGAGGCUUUGAUGGCACCAUGUGCGUGCCCAUUGGCCAUGCAUCACAGCGACCAUGUGACCUCGGCGCGGCCUCUGAC
ensembl:lncRNA